GGUUAAGCGACUAAGCGUACACGGUGGAUGCCCUGGCAGUCAGAGGCGAUGAAGGACGUGCUAAUCUGCGAUAAGCGCCGGUAAGGUGAUAUGAACCGUUAUAACCGGCGAUUUCCGAAUGGGGAAACCCAGUGUGAUUCGUCACACUAUCAUUAACUGAAUCCAUAGGUUAAUGAGGCGAACCGGGGGAACUGAAACAUCUAAGUACCCCGAGGAAAAGAAAUCAACCGAGAUUCCCCCAGUAGCGGCGAGCGAACGGGGAGGAGCCCAGAGCCUGAAUCAGCAUGUGUGUUAGUGGAAGCGUCUGGAAAGGCGCGCGAUACAGGGUGACAGCCCCGUACACAAAAGCGCAUGUGUUGUGAGCUCGAUGAGUAGGGCGGGACACGUGGUAUCCUGUCUGAAUAUGGGGGGACCAUCCUCCAAGGCUAAAUACUCCUGACUGACCGAUAGUGAACCAGUACCGUGAGGGAAAGGCGAAAAGAACCCCGGCGAGGGGAGUGAAAAAGAACCUGAAACCGUGUACGUACAAGCAGUGGGAGCACAGGUUUACCUGUGUGACUGCGUACCUUUUGUAUAAUGGGUCAGCGACUUAUAUUCUGUAGCAAGGUUAACCGUAUAGGGGAGCCGCAGGGAAACCGAGUCUUAAUUGGGCGUUAAGUUGCAGGGUAUAGACCCGAAACCCGGUGAUCUAGCCAUGGGCAGGUUGAAGGUUGGGUAACACUAACUGGAGGACCGAACCGACUAAUGUUGAAAAAUUAGCGGAUGACCUGUGGCUGGGGGUGAAAGGCCAAUCAAACCGGGAGAUAGCUGGUUCUCCCCGAAAGCUAUUUAGGUAGCGCCUCGUGAAUUCAUCUCCGGGGGUAGAGCACUGUUUCGGCUAGGGGGCCAUCCCGGCUUACCAACCCGAUGCAAACUGCGAAUACCGGAGAAUGUUAUCACGGGAGACACACGGCGGGUGCUAACGUCCGUCGUGAAGAGGGAAACAACCCAGACCGCCAGCUAAGGUCCCAAAGUCAUGGUUAAGUGGGAAACGAUGUGGGAAGGCCCAGACAGCCAGGAUGUUGGCUUAGAAGCAGCCAUCAUUUAAAGAAAGCGUAAUAGCUCACUGGUCGAGUCGGCCUGCGCGGAAGAUGUAACGGGGCUAAACCAUGCACCGAAGCUGCGGCAGCGACACUGUGUGUUGUUGGGUAGGGGAGCGUUCUGUAAGCCUGUGAAGGUGGCCUGUGAGGGUUGCUGGAGGUAUCAGAAGUGCGAAUGCUGACAUAAGUAACGAUAAAGCGGGUGAAAAGCCCGCUCGCCGGAAGACCAAGGGUUCCUGUCCAACGUUAAUCGGGGCAGGGUGAGUCGACCCCUAAGGCGAGGCCGAAAGGCGUAGUCGAUGGGAAACGGGUUAAUAUUCCCGUACUUGGUGUUACUGCGAAGGGGGGACGGAGAAGGCUAUGUUGGCCGGGCGACGGUUGUCCCGGUUUAAGCGUGUAGGUGUGUGUUCCAGGUAAAUCCGGUUCACUUUAACACUGAGGCGUGAUGACGAGGCACUACGGUGCUGAAGCAACAAAUGCCCUGCUUCCAGGAAAAGCCUCUAAGCAUCAGGUAACAUCAAAUCGUACCCCAAACCGACACAGGUGGUCAGGUAGAGAAUACCAAGGCGCUUGAGAGAACUCGGGUGAAGGAACUAGGCAAAAUGGUGCCGUAACUUCGGGAGAAGGCACGCUGACAUGUAGGUGAAGUGAUUUACUCAUGGAGCUGAAGUCAGUCGAAGAUACCAGCUGGCUGCAACUGUUUAUUAAAAACACAGCACUGUGCAAACACGAAAGUGGACGUAUACGGUGUGACGCCUGCCCGGUGCCGGAAGGUUAAUUGAUGGGGUCAGCGCAAGCGAAGCUCCUGAUCGAAGCCCCGGUAAACGGCGGCCGUAACUAUAACGGUCCUAAGGUAGCGAAAUUCCUUGUCGGGUAAGUUCCGACCUGCACGAAUGGCGUAAUGAUGGCCAGGCUGUCUCCACCCGAGACUCAGUGAAAUUGAACUCGCUGUGAAGAUGCAGUGUACCCGCGGCAAGACGGAAAGACCCCGUGAACCUUUACUAUAGCUUGACACUGAACAUUGAGCCUUGAUGUGUAGGAUAGGUGGGAGGCUUUGAAGCGUGGACGCCAGUCUGCGUGGAGCCGGCCUUGAAAUACCACCCUUUAAUGUUUGAUGUUCUAACGUGGACCCGUGAUCCGGGUUGCGGACAGUGUCUGGUGGGUAGUUUGACUGGGGCGGUCUCCUCCUAAAGAGUAACGGAGGAGCACGAAGGUUGGCUAAUCCUGGUCGGACAUCAGGAGGUUAGUGCAAUGGCAUAAGCCAGCUUGACUGCGAGCGUGACGGCGCGAGCAGGUGCGAAAGCAGGUCAUAGUGAUCCGGUGGUUCUGAAUGGAAGGGCCAUCGCUCAACGGAUAAAAGGUACUCCGGGGAUAACAGGCUGAUACCGCCCAAGAGUUCAUAUCGACGGCGGUGUUUGGCACCUCGAUGUCGGCUCAUCACAUCCUGGGGCUGAAGUAGGUCCCAAGGGUAUGGCUGUUCGCCAUUUAAAGUGGUACGCGAGCUGGGUUUAGAACGUCGUGAGACAGUUCGGUCCCUAUCUGCCGUGGGCGCUGGAGAACUGAGGGGGGCUGCUCCUAGUACGAGAGGACCGGAGUGGACGCAUCACUGGUGUUCGGGUUGUCAUGCCAAUGGCACUGCCCGGUAGCUAAAUGCGGAAGAGAUAAGUGCUGAAAGCAUCUAAGCACGAAACUUGCCCCGAGAUGAGUUCUCCCUGAGACUUAAAGUCUCCUGAAGGAACGUUGAAGACGACGACGUUGAUAGGCCGGGUGUGUAAGCGCAGCGAUGCGUUGAGCUAACCGGUACUAAUGAACCGUGAGGCUUAACCUU
rnacentral:rRNA from 1 species